rnacentral:sRNA from 1 species
GGAGGGGAAGGUGAUCUGGCUGCGACAUCUGUCACCCCAUUGAUCGCCAGGGUUGAUUCGGCUGAUCUGGCUGGCUAUGCGGGUGUCCCUUUCCUCCUUCACCGCUCCAUGUGGGUCCCUCCUGAAGCUGCAUGUUCGGUUGAAGAGGAUGACCUUCCCCGACAGAAGGGAAUAUGAUUAGCCGCACUCCCCUCCUAGAAUCUCCAAACAAGUCUCAAGGUCGGCCUGACCCCCAAG